rnacentral:rRNA from 1 species
AUUAAAACAACAAUCUCAAACUUUAGAGGGGCUCAUUUAAGACUUAAUCGAAUGAUUACCCAACAGGUAAAAAGAGCUUUUGUUUCCUCUCAUCGAGAUAGAGGUAGGGAAAAGAGGGAUUUUCAUCGUUUGUGGAUCAUGAUCUAUUUUUAUUUGGCUCAAUCUGAGCCGAGUUUAAUUGCAAUCAAUUAG